rnacentral:rRNA from 1 species
UACGUAGGGUCCAAGCGUUAAUCGGAAUUACUGGGCGUAAAGCGUAUGCAGGCGGAUCAUUAAGUCGGGGGUGAAAUCCCGAGGCUCAACCUCGGAACUGCCUUCGAUACUGAUGAUCUUGAGUCCGGGAGAGGUGAGUGGAACUGCGAGUGUAGAGGUGAAAUUCGUAGAUAUUCGCAAGAACACCAGUGGCGAAGGCGGCUCACUGGCCCGGUACUGACGCUGAGAUACGAAAGCGUGGGGAGCAAACAGG